CCUCCGCUGGUUUUACCGUCGCGAUAGAACCAAUCCCUCGCUAGCCCUACCUCGUCUCCCGUCUCCAGUCGCAGCCGCCGCCGCACCCCAAUCCAACCCCGCCGCCGGCGAUCUCCUCGCCCCCCUACGCCGCCGCCCCCAACCUUCUAUUCCUCUCCCAACGGAAUCCCAAGGGAAGGGAAGGCAAGGGAAGUGAAGGGAAGGGAGAGAGAGCGCCUAGAUCCACGGCGGCAUCAGCGCGCCGUCGUUGACCUAAUCUGCGUCCGUCCUCGAGGGAGGUCGGCCAUGGAGGUCCGACCCGGCCCGGCAGCAGCCAUGGACGGACGGAGACGCCCCAAACCCUACCCUCAACCUUCAACCGGAUCUUCCACCACACCACAUCGGCCUCCCUGACUUCACGCAGGAGCUCCACUGCUUCCAGAACGUCACCUGCUUCCAGGUACGUCUACGUGCGUGUAGCUGUCUUCUUUUCUUACUCAAUUCAUAGUUGUUCAGUUUUAAUGUCAUUUCUGAAGUCGAAAUGCACUGAUUUUAUUAGGGAUUUUAGCACUGCUUAAAUUUAGGGGGACAUUAAUUUUAGUUUCAGUUUGGUCAAUGGACUGGAUAUGUAGUCUAAUUCGCAAUCCCCUUUGUGACAUAUUCAGGUUGUGACAUUUUAUAAUUGAUCAAUCUGUAAUCCCUAAUUCUUUUUAAUUAAAAAUUCAGGAGGCGAAGCUCUCUUUUACGAUUUUGUGAUGUUCUUGUUGAUUGUGCCUUCAGUAUGUCUCCCUAAACUCUAGCUCGGUCGUGGGAGAGAGAGAAUUCAGAGAGGAAGAACACGCAGAGACACUGAAGUUUUUUUGUGCCGCGCUCUACAUCUGCAGCUUUUCUGUUUUACCCUUUUUAUUCAUCAAGAGUACACGAUCGUGCCUGAGCAACGUGCUCCACUACUGACCACGUCCAUCCCCAUGAUCCGAGCUUCGUGCUGGGCCUACUACGACUAAGCCAAGGCGCACAAAACGCAACCAAUUGGCGAGGAAAAACUGCUAAUGGAAAAACGACUGGCUACUGACGAAACUGAAUGUGUCUAGCGACACUUAUCUGAAAAAUGACUAAAUUCAGAGAAGGGCGAGGGAGACAGGGUUUAAGCCAACACAGUAUUCUCGGUGGCUUCAGCAAGUAGUAAUGCAAUAGGCUAAUGUUUGAUUAGUGAAAUUUGUGCAGCAAAUAGUAGUGUAGCAGGCCACGGUGUGUGAUAUUUGUAGUGCAAUGGAUGCUGAAAUCUGUGUGUGCUAUUUGUAUGUGCAAUGUGCAGGCUGUGUGCAACUUCAUGUGCAAUUUCAGAAUAGAAUACUACUGUAUCUAGCUCUGAAUUACAAGAGAUUAUCAACACUUAUAUAUUCAAUGUACAAGUUCUGAAUUAGAGUUGAUUAUGACCACUUUUUGUAAACAUCCUUAUAUGUUUGUAUUGUGUCCAAGAAGUUGUCAUCUUUCCGAAGACAAAGUAUGGGUUGAGUAAGCUGUUUGGUGUUGGAAUCAGCGAGGUUGGUCAUGUUGGUGGUAUUCUCUUAUGUGCACGCCUCUGAACACCCAUCAAGGGGGAAUGGUAUGUUUCGAUAAUCCAAUGAUCAAUUUCUGGUGGUACGUCAUAUUUUUCAUGGUAAUGAUGGUGUGUUUCCUUUUAGUUUUUGUCAUGGUACUACCUUGUUCCUAACUUUGAAAAAAGAACAGAUCAAGAGCAUUAGUGAAACAACCUCUAUCCAAAGAGAAAGGGUUAAUCAUGGAUCUUCAUAACUGAUGCAAAGAAUCUUCUAACUGUUUAGUAGCUCUGAGAGAUAAUUAACCCAUUUGAGGUUUGGAUAUGCAAUUUAUGCCCUAUAUAGUAAGCUAGAGGGCUCUUUCUGAUUCUUUGUGUGUGUAUAGAUACGCAGGUUCUUAGCAAUGAGCCGUUCUGGUUAAUUCUUAUGCAUGUGGUUGCUAUGCCUCUCUUAGUAUUUCUGUGAUUUUUCAUGCAUUUAGUUCUGCUUCCUAUCCAAACAUGGUGUUCAGUUCACUAUCUUUUGUUGUGCACAAUGCUUGGAUAUGCCCUACGGAGAAUUCUCAAAAUUCUUAUUCUUUGAAUUGUUUAGCUUAGGAGCAUUUGUUGUACGUAAGCACAUACAGAAAUAAGAUUUUAUCUACUUCUAAGGAUAUGGUGGUAGAAACAACAAGGAGCAUGACCAGGAUAGGAGAGUACAGAGGGCUCUGCCAGUGCACUACAUCACAGAUGUCAUCUGUAGGAAUGAUGGCAUCGACUGUCAUUUGCACGUUUACAGAUUCACAAUGGAGGUGAGAUUGGUAUAUGCUUCGUCAGCACAAGUCCUAUGUAACGAAGUUGGAUAAUAUACGAUUCCUUACGAAAGACUAAUUUCGAGAAUGCAUCUUUUGUGAGAUUAAUAGCUAGCUUGAUUUGGAUGCUGUUGGAAUUGUUUUAUUCUUUUAGGUGUCAUGAUCUCUAGCGGUAGCUAGCCUGGUUUGGAGGUGUUGAUCCUUCACAUCACAUUCGGAACCGUUCGCUCUUUGGUUACGAUUUGGCUGCCAUACAGCGGAAUCUGGCUGAAAAAGGGAAACCAAACAGGGCCAAAAAUUCUUCGCAUUAUUCAGGUAUGCAGGAGAAUAAUGGAGUUGUUCGAUCUGGAGUUUAUUCCAAGGUGCAAAAUUUACCAAAAUGAACUAUAAUGCUAAUGAUUUUGUUCCAUUUAAUUUCUUGGGAGUUGUCGCACAUUAAAUUCUUGCCGCAAUCCCUCUAUAAAUUUUUAGGCGUUCUGAAUUUUGAUGUAGCCAUUCGUCUCAUAGCUGCAAUCGGAAGGCCAAAUUCAAAGUUCGGUCUUUUUCUGGAAACUAAAACAGUGGCAUAUAGUAUUUUCUUCCACUCUAUUAUAUCCUCUUGUUUUCUAGAGAACUGAUCAUACCUAUCUUGCUGGAUUUGUUUAUGAUCUGUGUUUUACUCUGGGUGUCUCUUGACAAAAAUGGAUAUGAAUGAGAGGCGCUCCAAGGAGCAAGAGAAAUCAUGUGUAAAUACAAGUGCACUUUGAUUUUUUAUGCCAUUUAUAUAACUAAAAUAUUAAUGAUGGUUGUACAUAGAGUUUUAGACCUGUGGCUCUUUUGUUUACAUUUAAUCAUGUGUAAAACUUGGGAACAUGUAUGGAUGGACAAUACUAUGUGGAUUUGAUCAUUUUAUUGACUAAUUAUACAUCGUAUGAACUUAUAGAGUUUAGAGUUGUUUAUCCUGUUCUAAUGCUGGAGUUAAAAGUUUCAUGUAGCUAAUGCCAUCAUCUUUAUAAUAGAGCGGCAACAUACUCCGUAAGUUUUCACCCUACUCUAGGAAGCCAUUUCAUCAGUUUUUGGCUUCUGACACACUCGGAGCAACAAAUUUUGUGCUGCUAAUUGUUCUGUCCUCUCCGUUCUCUCUCUUUGCACUUACUUGUGAUUUUUGCUUAUGUCCGCGUACAGAUUUCAUCCAGGAAAUUUAGUCCUAGGGACUUUGAUAUACAAUGAUACACCAAAGCAAGCAAAGAAGCCAAAAGAAGUUAAAUGUUUUUACCUGCUGCUGGCAUCCGAUGAGCAGUUGCAGGUGUCAACCAUAGUAUUGUUAUAUGAAGUGAGAGUUGCAUGUGCUUAUCUGAAGCUUAUACUAAUAAUGUGCCUCCCUAAUUGUGGCUGAUCUGGAGCUCAUACCCAUGUUGGGAAUUUGCAGCAGGUCUGAUCCCUUGCGCGUGCUCCUCCGCUUGCCCUCUCGACCCUCCCCUUGCUCAUCGCCGUCCAUUUUAUUCAGAGUGUAGAUGGCGGGCAAAACACCUAAGCUCCAGAGCAAGGAUGAAAAGCACUCCAUACACACUCACAAGGAUGAUGAUCCAUCUGUUUCUAGGAUGGUGGGACUUGAGGUCAAACUGCACAGGUAUGCACCAGAUUCAAGGAUCAGCUACUUGAUGAAAUAUACAGGAGACUCUCCUACUCAACAUUACCUUAAAAAAGAAUCAAGGAUCAGUUCAAUGGGAAUUGGAAUGAUGAAAACACUUGUUUGAGCACAUCUGAUCCUCAUAAUAGCAUAUUUUUAAUAAAUCACUGUAGUCAAAUCACUUUUUUUUUAUAAUUUCUAUAGUAAAAUCACUUACUAUUGUGUAUAAGUGCCAUUAAGGAUAAUCCUAGAUCUGCGGGAUAGUUUGGAAGUUAUACCCAAGGCAUUAUAAUUGCUCUAUAUUAUUAUUAAUUUCGUAUAUCAUCACCUUAGACUACUCGAACUGUCGGCCAUGCUUUGUGAUUAAACAAUUCUUGACUGAUUAAAUCCAUUUCAAGUGUAAUGCAAGUGUUGAAUUGUGAUCCAUGAACAGCAAGCCCAUUUGGGGAAUGUAUUUGAACAAUGACCCAAGCAGUCGCACAAGUGGAUCUGCACAUAUUAUUAUCAAGGUAUCGUCUCAUCUUUCAAUUUUCUUUGCCACUCUAAAAUAAUCGGUUUUCUCUUUCAUGUGAGCAUUUUGAUUUUUUUUCUAGAAGCUUGACAAGAAAACUGAAAACAAAUAAUUAGAGAAGAUUAACCGGGCGGGAGGAGAGGGAAGAAGGGAUAAAGAGAAAAGAAAUACAUAGUAAAGUUAUAUUGAUUAAAGAGUUCUAGCAAUGCAUCUGCUUCUAACUAUAUAUAAAGAUCUUGCAUGUGAUUAACCGGGCGGGAGGAGAUGGAAGAAGGGCUUGGCCACUUGGAUCGUGAGAUGACUAUUCGGUUGACCAUUUGUGCUAUCUAUUCAAUGUCAUGCAUCAUAGAAACAAAGAUUAGUUUUGUUGUUGUGGAUUUUGCAGGAAAACAGAGUAGGUCAUGGUGGAUGAAGAGAACAUUAACCGACAGACUUUUCGGUAAAAAAAUUGGCUGCCUUGAUUAGUUUAUUUCUUAUCAAUUAAAUUUGUAUGUGAAGUACAAAAAGUUGAUAAUUGGGACAGAAUUAUGACUUUUACUAUGUACCAUUUUCAUAUAUUCCUCAACAACACGUCUAGAUUCAUGUAGAUAAUAAUUUGAACACGUCUAGCAAUUUACAUGUCUUCUGGGCAAGCUAAGCUAUUUUCUUGAUGAUCCAAGCAGGUUGCUGAUCAAAUAUAAAAUAUGUAAUUUUCUGGUUCAGUAAUAAACGGGCAAUUCAACUUAUGGCUGGGGCAGCCUGAUUUCCUCCUACACACGCCCGCUAGCAGCAGCAGUUACGACCAGGCGGUUGCGGAAGGUGAUAGGUGUGGUGGUCGGCGGUGCCUGGGCUAUUGAUGUUCGAUUUGAGAGGAAGAAGAGAGAUUGGCUGCUGAUUUUGGGAGGAAGAAGAGAGAUUGAGCGUGCUGUUGCUGCCGUGUGUGGUCUUGGGAGAGGAAUAAAAGAGAGUAGUAGAGAGCUUUAGAGAGAUAGCAAAGGAUUGAGAGGCUACUCCUAUUUGUAUUGCUGUCGAUGCUUGCACAAUGCCACUGCUUAUUAUACUGUGUUAUUCAUCUUUGAAAAAAACAAUCAUUUUCUCCCUUCAA